rfam:Streptococcus parauberis NCFD 2020 Noncontiguous_Finished_Chromosome chromosome, whole genome shotgun sequence.
GGUUAAGUUAAUAAGGGCGCACGGUGGAUGCCUUGGCACUAGAAGCCGAUGAAGGACGUGACUAACGACGAAAUGCUUUGGGGAGCUGUAAGUAAGCAAAGAUCCAGAGAUGUCCGAAUGGGGAAACCCGGCGAUGUAAUGCAUGUCAUCCAUGACUGUUAAGGUCAUGAGAAGGAAGACGCAGUGAACUGAAACAUCUAAGUAGCUGCAGGAAGAGAAAGCAAACGCGAUUGCCUUAGUAGCGGCGAGCGAAACGGCAGAAGGGCAAACCGAGGAGUUUACUCCUCGGGGUUGUAGGACUGCGACGUGGGAUCAAAUACUAUAGAAGAAUUACCUGGGAAGGUAAGCCAAAGAGAGUAAUAGCCUCGUAUUUAAAAUAGUAAAUGACUCUAGCAGUAUCCUGAGUACGGCGAGACACGCGAAAUCUCGUCGGAAUCUGGGAGGACCAUCUCCCAACCCUAAAUACUCUCUAGUGACCGAUAGUGAACCAGUACCGUGAGGGAAAGGUGAAAAGCACCCCGGAAGGGGAGUGAAAUAGAACCUGAAACCGUGUGCCUACAACAAGUUCGAGCCCGUUAAUGGGUGAGAGCGUGCCUUUUGUAGAAUGAACCGGCGAGUUACGAUAUGAUGCGAGGUUAAGUUGAAGAGACGGAGCCGUAGGGAAACCGAGUCUUAAUAGGGCGACUUAGUAUCAUGUUGUAGACCCGAAACCAUGUGACCUACCCAUGAGCAGGUUGAAGGUGAGGUAAAACUCACUGGAGGACCGAACCAGGGCACGUUGAAAAGUGCUUGGAUGACUUGUGGGUAGCGGAGAAAUUCCAAACGAACUUGGAGAUAGCUGGUUCUCUCCGAAAUAGCUUUAGGGCUAGCGUCGAUGUUAAGUCUCUUGGAGGUAGAGCACUGUUUGGGUGAGGGGUCCAUCCCGGAUUACCAAUCUCAGAUAAACUCCGAAUGCCAACGAGAUAUAAUCGGCAGUCAGACUGCGAGUGCUAAGAUCCGUAGUCGAAAGGGAAACAGCCCAGACCACCAGCUAAGGUCCCAAAAUAAUUGUUAAGUGGAAAAGGAUGUGGGGUUGCACAGACAACUAGGAUGUUAGCUUAGAAGCAGCUAUUCAUUCAAAGAGUGCGUAAUAGCUCACUAGUCGAGUGACCCUGCGCCGAAAAUGUACCGGGGCUAAAACAAUUUACCGAAGCUGUGGAUUACCUUUAGAGGUAAUGGUAGGAGAGCGUUCUAUGUGUGAAGAAGGUAUACCGUGAGGAGUGCUGGAACGCAUAGAAGUGAGAAUGCCGGUAUGAGUAGCGAAAGACAGGUGAGAAUCCUGUCCACCGUAAGACUAAGGUUUCCAGGGGAAGGCUCGUCCGCCCUGGGUUAGUCGGGACCUAAGGAGAGACCGAAAGGUGUAUUCGAUGGCCAACAGGUUGAUAUUCCUGUACUAGUAUGUAAAGUGAUGGAGGGACGCAGUAGGCUAACUAAAGCGUGCGAAUGGAAGAGCACGUUCAAGCAGUGAGGUGUGGUAUGAGUCAAAUGCUUAUACCUAAUACAUUGAGCUGUGAUGAGGAGCGAAAUUAAGUAGCGAAGUUAGUGAUGUCACACUGCCAAGAAAAGCUUCUAGCGUUUAAUUACAUACUACCCGUACCGCAAACCGACACAGGUAGUCGAGGCGAGUAGCCUCAGGUGAUCGAGAGAACUCUGGUUAAGGAACUCGGCAAAAUGACCCCGUAACUUCGGGAGAAGGGGUGCUGGCGUUAGCGUCAGCCGCAGUGAAUAGGCCCAAGCAACUGUUUAUCAAAAACACAGCUCUCUGCUAAAUCGUAAGAUGAUGUAUAGGGGGUGACGCCUGCCCGGUGCUGGAAGGUUAAGAGGAGUGCUUAGCGUAAGCGAAGGUAUGAAUUGAAGCCCCAGUAAACGGCGGCCGUAACUAUAACGGUCCUAAGGUAGCGAAAUUCCUUGUCGGGUAAGUUCCGACCCGCACGAAAGGCGUAAUGAUUUGGGCACUGUCUCAACGAGAGACUCGGUGAAAUUUUAGUACCUGUGAAGAUGCAGGUUACCCGCGACAGGACGGAAAGACCCCAUGGAGCUUUACUGCAGUUUGAUAUUGAGUAUCUGUACCACAUGUACAGGAUAGGUAGGAGCCAUUGAAGACGGGACGCCAGUUUCGUCUGAGGCAAUGUUGGGAUACUACCCUUGUGUUAUGGCUACUCUAACCCAGAUAGGUUAACCCUAUCGGAGACAGUGUCUGACGGGCAGUUUGACUGGGGCGGUCGCCUCCUAAAAGGUAACGGAGGCGCCCAAAGGUUCCCUCAGAUUGGUUGGAAAUCAAUCGUAGAGUGUAAAGGUAUAAGGGAGCUUGACUGCGAGAGUUACAACUCGAGCAGGGACGAAAGUCGGGCUUAGUGAUCCGGUGGUUCCGCAUGGAAGGGCCAUCGCUCAACGGAUAAAAGCUACCCUGGGGAUAACAGGCUUAUCUCCCCCAAGAGUUCACAUCGACGGGGAGGUUUGGCACCUCGAUGUCGGCUCGUCGCAUCCUGGGGCUGUAGUCGGUCCCAAGGGUUGGGCUGUUCGCCCAUUAAAGCGGCACGCGAGCUGGGUUCAGAACGUCGUGAGACAGUUCGGUCCCUAUCCGUCGCGGGCGUAGGAAAUUUGAGAGGAUCUGCUCCUAGUACGAGAGGACCAGAGUGGACUUACCGCUGGUGUACCAGUUGUCUUGCCAAAGGCAUCGCUGGGUAGCUAUGUAGGGAAGGGAUAAGCGCUGAAAGCAUCUAAGUGCGAAGCCCCCCUCAAGAUGAGAUUUCCCAUGAUUUUAUAUCAGUAAGAGCCCUGAGAGAUGAUCAGGUAGAUAGGUUAGAAGUGGAAGUAUAGCGAUAUAUGAAGCGGACUAAUACUAAUAGCUCGAGGACUUAUCCUA